AAUAGCGUAUAUUAAAGUUGUUGUGGUUAAAAAGCUCGUAGUCGAACCUCGAGCCUGGCCGGCCGGUCCGCCUCACCGCGUGCACUGGUCUGGCCGGGCUCUUCCCUCUGCGGAACCGCAUGUCCUUCACUGGGCGUGUCGGGGAGGCAGGACUUUUACUUUGAAAAAAUUAGAGUGCUCAAGGCAGGCCAAUGCUCGAAUACAUUAGCAUGGAAU
rnacentral:rRNA from 15 species